AUUGAACGCUGGCGGCAGGCCUAACACAUGCAAGUCGAGCGGAUGAAGAGAGCAUGCUCUCUGAUUCAGCGGCGGACGGGUGAGUAAUGCCUAGGAAUCUGCCUGGUAGUGGGGGACAACGUUUCGAAAGGAACGCUAAUACCGCAUACGUCCUACGGGAGAAAGCAGGGGACCUUCGGGCCUUGCGCUAUCAGAUGAGCCUAGGUCGGAUUAGCUAGUAGGUGAGGUAAAGGCUCACCUAGGCGACGAUCCGUAACUGGUCUGAGAGGAUGAUCAGUCACCCUGAAACUGAGACACGGUCCAGCCUCCUACGGGAGGCAGCAGUGGGGAAUAUUGGACAAUGGGCGAAAGCCUGAUUCAGCCAUGCCGCGUGUGUGAAGAAGGUCUUCGGAUUGUAAAGCACUUUAAGUUGGGAGGAAGGGCAGUAAGUUAAUACCUUGCUGUUUUGACGUUACCAACAGAAUAAGCACCGGCUAACUUCGUGCCAGCCGCCGCGGUAAAAC
rnacentral:rRNA from 1 species